AAAGAAUGGAAGUGGGAGUGGCAUCAUUCACUACUGCGCCUAGUGACUCACAAGCAAAAUGUUUACUUCCUGUUUCCAUGACAUUAUGCUCUGCUGGCCUAGACGUCUUAGUUCCAGAGGAUGGAAUGCUUCACCAGGAGACACAAGAAUAAUUUCCUUGACCUGGGAGUUAAGACUGCCACCCAGCCACCUUGUGCUCUCCAUGCUGCUGAUUCAACAGGCAAAUAAGGAAGUUAUGGUGUGGGCUACAGUGAUUGAUCUGACUAACAAGAGGGAAAUUGCUCCACCAUGGGGGUGAGGGAGAGUACAUCUGGAAUACAGAAGUUCCCUUAGGACACCCUUAGUGUUCCCACACAUUGCGAUUAAGGCCAGUGGAAAACUACAAUAACUCAGUUCAGGCGGAACAACUCAUGGGGCAGAAUCUUCAAGGAAUGAAGAUUUGAGUCCUUCUACCAGGUUUUGCAGAGUGCCUCCAGAAAUAAAAGUGUUACAAAAGAAUCACUUCAGAAAACCUACACUUAGAGAGUCCAUUUGAAAAUUGCCCUAUUUGAAAUGAAGUGGAGAUCAGUAAUAACAAGGACUUCCCCAUAUAACCCAAGGUCCUACUGGGUUAGUGUGAUCUUCUGCGGAAGGCUGCAGCUGCUGUCAGGAGGCCCUCUGUCUACACUCCUCUCUGGAGAAGUGUAAGUGUUUUGUCAGGUCCCUUUUAAACUGAAGCAUAGUGAGAACAAGUGUAAAGCACAACACAGACGGAAGAUUGCACCUUAGCUCACUGCCCCGUGCACCCCGGUUACACCGUCUAAGAAAACACUCUGGAUUCAAUCCUUGGAAAAGUAGUAUGUGCUGAGCUACCACUUCUGGAAGAGUCUUUCCUGGUUAAUUACUUGAAACCUGUUGCAUUGGGAAUUUCUCAGAAAGUCUGCCUUGAUGAGCUUUACUCAAGAGCCGCAACUUCACGGAUCGGACAACAGAAAAGACUUCGGCAGUUACCAAAUCUGAAGUACUCAUUGUGCAUGCUAGCAAUCUGGGACUAAUAAGGUUAAAUUGUCUGAGACCUCAAGGUGGAAGUGACAGUUUGUCUCCAUGAGGUCAUACAGCUGCUUGAGGUUGCUCGGAGAGUAAGAAGCAGAAUGAGAACUAGAACAGAAGCUCACUUUGGCCUGAAGGCUCAUGUGCUGAGCAUCUUCCCUUGUCUGUCUCCACCCCUAGCCUGGUGCCCAGCAUGUAGAAGACCUUCAUCCUAGAUGCAAUGGGAUUAAACUUGGAGAAAAUGGGAUUAAACUUGGACAAACACUACCUAUUUGGACUUGUGAUGAUGGCUUUCAAACUUCUUAAAGCAAUGAAGUAUUUUUUCCAGAAGAAACCUUACACAAGAAGCCCAGCACACUGAGUCAAGCAUAUGUAGGUGGAAGAUAUCUGGUUGAGACCAAGUAGAGAUAAACCUGUAGAUUCAACUGUGCCACCACAGUGAAUUCUAAGAAUCCACUGACUGUGAUCUGUAAGCUCCUACUCCACAGGAGGUCAGGGCACACAGCUUGAAACCGGAAGGCAGAAGAGUGACAGGGAAGGGUCAUGGACUCUGAAAUUAGAGCUAUCUGUGUUUUAAUACUAGUUCCAAUAGGCACAUGGUCUUGGAUAAAUGGUUUAAAUUAUCUGAGUCUCAAUUUCUUUCUCUGCAAAAAGGGAUGAUUAGUACAUAUGUAAUAGGGUUUUUAUAGAAAAUUGUAUAACUUGUUAAACACACAUGUACUAAGUGCUUGGUGCCCAGUAUGCACUGAAUAAAUGCUAGCUCCUUGCCUUUCAUCUCUAUGACCCUUCCCAAAUCUCUCAGCCCCAUAUUGCUUCAUGUAGUGUGUGUAUAUUUGGGAAAAUUUGUGUGCAUAUUUACAGAUGGGAUCCUACUCUUCUAUUGACAGACUGUCUUUUCAGAUGUGCCUUACUUUCAUUGCAUUGGUUUUUCAACUGAAAGUGAACAUAAAGGUUUUAAGCAUGCCUAGGUCUUAUCUUUUUGGUCAAAUAUCUAACACCCUCAAUAACAGUUGUAAAUCAUUCUUUUGUAAUUUGAUCAUUCAUUUUUAUAAAGUAAAACACAACUGCCCACUGUAAAAAUAGACUUCAUUUGCUCUUUUCUUCCAGUGCAGCAAAUGACAGACACUUUAAGAACACACAUUUAACUUCAGCAAACAAAUCAUGUAUAUUUUAGACAUAACUGUCAAGUAUAGAAAUGAUACCAUCCAACUUACCAAACUAUCACAUAAGAAUGCCCAAUAGCAGACAUUAGGAUGGGGCAAAACUGAAAGAAGGAUUGACUUCAUCAAACCCUUGAUGACAUACAAAAUGGAAACCAUUCAAGUUCAACUGAAGAAAACGAUAUCCCACAAGAUCUAGGGGUAAAAAGCAGACAAAGUUUAGGAAUGAAUUUAAACUACUGACUUACGUGUUGUCAGGAGUCUAUUUCUAUUCCUCAAUUUUACUCCUUUUUGUACAACUGUGUGCAUUCUCUCUCUGACUCUCUCUUCCUCCCUCCCAACACCCCCCACCCUCUUCUUGUUGCUGUUUCUCUCUAUUUCUUCAGAUCAAAGGGUUGAUCUCUUCCAAAUGUACAUAUUACAGAUCCACACUCUUAGAAAAACAACAGAAUCUCUCUAGUGCUUAAUUUAAUUUGUCCAUCUAAAAGAUAUUACUUGGCCCAAUUUGACCAAGCACCAUCUACUGGACCAAAUAAUGGUGGCCAGAGAAGCAUGGUCACAAUGGGGAAUGGGAAUAAGAUGGGGAUCAUAUGGGGACUAAGAAUGGGCAAGAACAUCUCCCAGAGUGGUAAGAGAAACAAUCUAAUGGGCAUAUAUUCCCAGUGUCCUCAAAUACUCCUCUACCCUAAAUUGCUUGCUCUGCUCUUGGGCCUUUGGAUGUGCUGACCUGAGUAGUGGUAACAAGUUCAGAAUUGUAGGGAAAGGGCUAUGAGUUUAUAUUUUAAGGGCAGAGAGUGGCAUUUAUGCAGUGGAAACACAUGGAAGAUGAGUAGGAUUGUGAAGGAUAAACUUGGGAAAAGAACAAUGACCUGAAGAGUACUAAUAAAUGCAGGGAUGGGUGACCAGAAAGAAAGGAUAGAUAGGAGGAAAAUCUUAGAGUAAAACUGGCAAAAGUUCACGGCCAGUUUAGUUAAUGGAAUCAAGGACAGUGAAAACGCAAUGAUAACUUCAGUGUUCUGGUUCUGAUGACCAAAGAAGGUCAUCAUUGUGAUGGAUAUUUUCUCUUAUUUCAUAACCUCUGCUCUAUGCUCUGUGUGAUUCCUCUCCUUCCAUUCAACUUGCCUUGCAUUUUCCGGAGUCUACUCCUUGGCUAAAUAGGGUCCUUCUUUCUCAGUAGCCCUUACUACCGAAUUAAAUCAUGGUGCCAGGGCUCAUUCUGCUUUGUUUCUGGAAACCUGCCAAGCAUGCUCCUGCCUUGGGGGCUUGCACUGAUUCGUUGCUCCAUAUUGAAAUGUUAUUUGCAUGGUCACCUGUGGCCCUGAUAUGGUUUGGCUGUGUCCCCACCCAGAUCUCGAAUUGUAGCUCUCAUAAUUCCCACGUCAUGGGAGGGACCCAGUGGAAAGUAACUGAUUCAUGAGAGCAGGUGUUUCCCCCAUACUGUUCUCAUGAUAGUGGUAUAAGUCUCACAAGAUCUGAUGGUUUUUAUAAAGGGGAGUUUCCCUGCACAUGCUCUCUCUCUCGCCUGUUGCCAUGUAAGAUGUGCCUUUUCUCCUCCUUUGCCGCCCACCGUGAUUGUGAAGCCUCCCCAGCCACGUGGAACUGUGAGUCCAUUAAACCUCUUUCCUUUGUAAAUUACCUGGUCUUGGGUAUGUCUUUAUCAGCAGCAUGAGAACAGACUAAUACAGGCUCCUAUCCACACUUCCUCAGGACUCUCUCAGAGACCCCUUGCCUUACCAGCCUAUGUUAUUCCCAGUAGCCUUCUAUCCCUGUAUCUGGCUUUAGCUUAUUCAUGACCUGAUAUUUUACCAUCAGGAAAUAAAUAUAAAUAUCAACAAUGAAAGUAUAAAUGAAUGAUAUCUCUUUUCUUGACCAUCCCUACACAACAGAAUCCAAGUUUCAUGACAGCAGGGAUAUGUGUGGCUUACUGCAGUACUUUUACCUCCUAGAAGUCUCCUAGGCCAAUGGUAGAUGCUCGAUUAAUAUUUGUAGGAUGAAUAAGUGAAAAAAGUUUUGACUAGGGUCAGUAGUGUUAAUCUUGGUUCAAAAUAAAACAUGAGGUAAAAAUAAACGAGUAAGAAAAGAAACAAUUUAACAGACGAUGGCUUUUCCCACUUUUAUGUGAUGUUGCCUAGGCUUUGCCAUUUUAUUGAAUGGACAAACUUCUUUAUGACAUAACUUCCCUCUCACUCUCUCCUCCCAAUAGCAUAAAAUAAUGUAAAAGUCAGGAGAUCAAAAUCUAGCAGACCCAAUUUCAGUUCAAUAUAAUAUUGUAACAUUAACCAUAAAAACCAUAGAAAAAAACCUAGACAAUACCAUUCAGGACAUAGGCAUGGGCAAAGACUUCAUGACUAAAACACCAAAAGCAAUUGCAACAACAGCCAAAAAGUGACAAAUGGGAUCUAAUUAACCUAGAGUUUCUGCACAGCAAAAUAAACUAUCAUCAGAGUAAACAGACAACCUACAGAAUUAGAGAAAAUGUUUUCAAUCUAUCCACCUGACAAAGGGCUAAUAUCCAGAACCUAAAAGGAACUUAAACAAAUUUACAAGAAAAAAACAACCCCAUCAAAAAGUGCGUGAAGGGUAUGAACAGACACUUUUCAAAAGAAGACAUUUAUGUGGCCAACAAACAUAUGAAAAAAAGCUCAUCAUCACUUGUCAUUAGAGAAAUGCAAAUCAAAACCACAACGAGAUACCGUCUCAUGACAGUUAGAAUGGCGAUCAUUGAAAAGUCAGAAAACAACAGAUGCUGGAGAGGGUGUAGAGAAAUAGGAAUGCUUUUACACUGUUGGUGGGAGUGUAAAUUAGUUCAACCAUUGUGGAAGAUAGUGUGGUGAUUCCUCAGGGAUCUAGAACUAGAAAUAUCAUUUGAUCCAGCAAUCCCAUUACUGGGUAUAUACCAAAAGGAUAAUAAAUCAUUCUACUAUAAAGACACAUGUACACGUAUGUUUAUUGCAGCACUAUUCACAAUAGCAAAGACUUGGAAUACUAUGCAGCCAUAAAAAAUGAUGAGUUCAUGUCCUUUGCAGGGACAUGAAUGAAGCUGGAAACCAUCAUUCUCAGCAAACUAACACAGAAACAGAAAACCAAACACCACGUGUUCUCACUCAUAAGUAGGAGUUGAAGAAUGAGAACAUGUGGACACAGGGAGGGGAACAUCACACACUGGGUCCUGUUGAGCGCUGGGGGACAAGGGGAGGAGUAGCAUUAGGAGAAAUACCUAAAGUAAAUGAUGGGUUGAUGGGUGUAGCAAACCACCAUGGCACAUGUAUACCUAUGUAACAAACCUGCACGUUCUGCACAUGUAUCCCAGAACUUAAAGUAUAAUAAAUUUAAAAAAAGAAAAAAAAUUGUUGUCUUCUCUGUGCCCGUUUUCUUUUAUUUUAAAAUGGCCUGAAAUAAUUUAAUAUGUGUUAUGGAUUAAAUCGUGUCCCUCAAAAAGAUGUUGAAAUCCUAAGCCCCUUAUCUGUGAGUGUG
rnacentral:lncRNA from 1 species